AUAAAUACCUUUAUUCUAAGUUGAACAAAGAGAGGCAGUUUUUGAAAAGUAACUAAACUAUAGGGGAGGUUAAAAGAAGAUACUAAUUGUUUUAACAAGGUCUCAUUGUUCAGAAUUCUCUUGGCUAUGAUUCCCCACCGAAGAAUGUUUCUUUUCUCCUGGUACAGGAAGGACAUCUUUAACAUGGGAGUUUUUAUCUUCUGUUUUCAGGAAGAAACGUGAGAGAUGAAUGCCUGCUUACAUUUGCUGUUUUUGAAGUGCUUUUAGCUCAAAAUAAUCCUUAUACCAAAGUGGCACAUUUUAGAGUGGCAUAGUCUGCUCCCACUUCAAGUCUUUGAAAGUAUCAAUAAAAUUGAUAAAACUGUAGCCUAGCAGCUCAAGGGGAAAAAAAAAGACAAGAAGCAAAUUAGCAGCAGCAGCAAAGAAAGAAGAGAUAUCCAUAAAAGCCCUAAGAAAAUUGAACUAUAAAAAAGGAUAUCAUAAACAACUUUAUGCUCUUAAGUUCAGCAACUUCAGUGAAAUGGACAAAUCCUUGAAAGACAACCAAAGUUCACCCAUGAAGCAAUGACUUGAAUGGCCCCAUAACUCUUUAUAAAUUAAUAUUUAGUUGAAAAAUAUCACAGAGAAAUUUUCAGGAUCAAAUAGCUCUACAGGUAAAUUUUAUCACACAUUUAAGCAAGAAAAAAAUAUCAUUUCUGAAAAAAAACUCUUCUAGAAAAUAGAAGAGGAAACACUUUCCAGCUCAUUUUUGUCAUGAAGCUAGCAUAAUCUGAUAAUAAAAGCAAAGGCACUGCAAUAAAACAAACUAUGAAACAUAAUCCCUCAUGAAUAUAGAUGCAAAACUCCUCCAUUAAAAAUAUCAGUAAAUAGAAUCUAGCAAUAUAUCAAAAGGUUAAUACAUCAGAAACAAGAGGAAUUUAUCCCAGAAAUGAAAAUCUAGUACAACUUUCAUACUUCAAUCAAACUAAUUCACCAUAUCAACAGGAGGAAAAAAAAAGUAAUCAUCUCAAUAGAUGGAGAAAAAGCAUUUGGCAAAAUUCAACAACUACAAGUGAUGAAAUAUCUCAGCAAACCAGGAACAGAAAGCUUUUAUAUAUUGAUGAAUGCCUGCAGCAAACACUGAAAUAAUGUCUGUACUUGGAACCAACCGCCACAUUGUGAAGGCACGUGUGAGCUUAGCUGAAUCCCCGAUAAUAGCCAACACCAAUAACCAGAUAGAGGAACAAAUAAAUAUUCAGAAGAAUCCAAUGCCAGAGUUUGAGUCUUCCAUCUGAAGUUUAGGCAACAUGGAGCAGAGACAAGCUUUCCCAUGUAUAAAUUCCUGACCUGCAAAAAACAUGAAAUAAGUGACUUUUGUUGUUUUAAGUCACUGAAUGAUAUUAUGCAACCACAGUGUCUCAUGUUAUGCAAUCAUAGCUAUCUUAAAAGGAAAGAUAUCUUAGUUUUUUAGUCAUAUCCCUGGCUUUGGCAUUUAUUAAUUCUUUAAGUAUUAGUAAGCCAGA
rnacentral:lncRNA from 10 species